CCCGCACAAGCGGUGGAGUAUGUGGUUUAAUUCGAUGAUACACGAAGAACCUUACCCAGGCUUGACAUGCAGGUAUCGGGGUUUACGAAAGUAGGCCCACCCUCGGGAGGCCUGCACAGGUGCUGCGUGGCUGUCGUCAGCUCGUGUCGUGAGAUGUCCGGUUAAGUCCGGUAACGAGCGCAACCCUCGCUGUAUGUUAUACGUGUCAUACGGGACUGCCGGUAUCAAGCCGGAGGAAGGUGGGAUGACGUUAAGUCAGCAUGGCCUUUAUGUCUGGGGCUACACACACGCUACAAUGGCCAGUACAAUAGGUUGCAAGACCGCGAGGUGGAGCCAAUCCUAAAAGCUGGUCUCAGUUCGGAUUGCAGGCUGCAACUCGCCUGCAUGAAGUCGGAGUUGCUAGUAACCGCGCGUCAGCUAUAGUGCGGUGAAUACGUUCCCGGGCCUU
rnacentral:rRNA from 1 species